GCUGUCGCAGGGAGCUGAGGGUCUGGGCUGCGGAUUCAAAGUCAGGAGCCUGGAGCCUGGACGGGGGCGCACACGCGCACACCAGGCUGCCUGAUGCUGUGAUCCCCUCCCCUGCGUGGCCCCCCCGCCGCUGGCAGAGCUUGCCUCUCCCUCCGCCCCAGCUGUUGUGGGCCGUGGCCUCGGCCGUGGCAGCCUUGCCCAGCACAGCCGGGGAGGAAUUUCCCACAGGUGGGCCGGUUACGGUGUGAAAGGUACAAAAACGACACAGUGUAGCCUCCC
rnacentral:lncRNA from 1 species